GCGAGGACUGAAGUGAUGUGUGUUUUCUGACCUGGUCAGCGAUCAUGGCUGAUAAUAACAGCGAAAUAUGAAGGAAAAUUACUGAGCAGUUUCACUGGUUCUCCAGCGAACAAAGCCUGUCUGGCACUGACACACCAUCGCCUUCAUUCUGAUGCAAAACCAGCGCGUCUUCUGUAGUCUGCAUGAAUGUGAGGCCGGUGGCUCUUGGAAACGAGCAUCAGCAGUUCCUGGCUGUAAAUCUCAUGGGUUUCUCAUAAUGAUCUCAGCUGUGGCUAUUUGUGGACAUCAGCGUGAGUGAAAAUCCUGCCAAAUUCUCUCAAUGGGACCAGACUUUGUUCAUCCAUCCACUGUGUGAGUGUUUUCAUAUCACAUUAUUCUGCAUUAAACCUCCAAAUCUAAAGAGUGAGAUUCUUAUCACUGUCAAAUCACGUUGGUUCAUCCACAUUAUAUUUUUUAGGCUUUUGUCAAGAGAGUAGAUAUUCAGAUUUUGUCUUUAUAUUUAUGCAUUUAGCAGAUGCUUUUAUCUAAAGUGAUUUACAAAUAAGGAAUACAACAACCGUUUCAUCUUGCAUCAAUAAACACAAGAAGUGCUCCGAGUGUGUGUUCACGGUGUGUGUGUGUGUCACUGCUGUGUGUGUGUGUGUGUGUGUGUGUGUGUGUGUGUGUGUGUGUGUCUCUNUGUNUGUGUGUGUGUGUGUGUGU
rnacentral:lncRNA from 1 species